ACGAUGGAACUUGUUUUAUGGCAUCAAGGAGAGAGAGGUUGAUUUUGACUUGUUUGAAUACCUCCAUUAUUUCUUCCAACGAAGUUUCUUUCUUGCUAAAGGAAGAAGGUGCAUUCAGACACUGAGGGAAAGGAGCCUUCGGUGUAAAAGGUGUGGUCGAUACUGGACUAGAUGGUGACACAGCAGAGUUUGGGUUCUCUAUAGUCAUACUCCUAUCUUCAUUUUCCUUAUGUUCUUUUUCUCCAACCUU
rnacentral:lncRNA from 1 species